UUUUCGGAAUUGCUGGCUGCAUCAAGUUUCUCGAGUCUUACUACUUGAUUCUCGUUACUAAACGUAGACAGAUUGGUGCUAUAUGUGGCCAUGCAAUCUAUAACAUCAAGGAGAGCCAAUUGAUAACCAUUCCACAUGUUUCAAUCAAAUCUGAUUUAGCUCACUCUAAGACUGAGCUCAGCCCCUUCUGAGUUUCUGAAAUU
rnacentral:sRNA from 1 species